UGGGGAAUUUUGGACAAUGGGCGAAAGCCUGAUCCAGCAAUGCCGCGUGUGUGAAGAAGGCCUUCGGGUUGUAAAGCACUUUUGUCCGGAAAGAAAUCCUUGGCUCUAAUACAGUCGGGGGAUGACGGUACCGGAAGAAUAAGCACCGGCUAACUACGUGCCAGCAGCCGCGGUAAUACGUAGGGUGCAAGCGUUAAUCGGAAUUACUGGGCGUAAAGCGUGCGCAGGCGGUUUGCUAAGACCGAUGUGAAAUCCCCGGGCUCAACCUGGGGAACUGCAUUGGUGACUGGCAGGCUAGAGUAUGGCAGAGGGGGGUAGAAUUCCACGUGUAGCAGUGAAAUGCGUAGAGAUGUGGAGGAAUACCGAUGGCGAAGGCAGCCCCCUGGGGCCAAUACUGACGCUCAUGCACGAAAGCGUGGGGGAGCAAACAGGAUUAGAUACCCUGGUAGUCCACGCCCUAAACGAUGUCAACUAGUUGUUGGGGAUUCAUUUCCUUAGUAACGUAGCUAACGCGUGAAGUUGACCGCCUGGGGAGUACGGUCGCAAGAUU
rnacentral:rRNA from 1 species